UCCGGUUUGUCACCGGCAGUCUGGCGUGAGUCCCCAACUCAAUGCUGGCAACACGCCACGGGGGUUGCGCUCGUUGCGGGACUUAACCCAACAUCUCACGACACGAGCUGACGACAGCCAUGCAGCAUCUGUGGCGCACCCUCGAAGGUCACACGUUUCCGUGCGCUUGCAGCGCCAUGUCAAGCCCAGGUAAGGUUCUUCGCGUUGCAUCGAAUUAAAGAACAUGCUCCGCCGCUUGUGCGGGCCCCCGCCAAUUCCUUUGAGUUUUAGCCUUGCGGCCGUACUCCCCAGGCGGGGCACUUAACGCGUUAGCUGCGGCACGGAACCCGUGGAAUGGGACCCACGCCUAGUGCCCAUCGUUUACGGCGUGGACUAC
rnacentral:misc_RNA from 1 species